CCUAAUUCCUGGGAGCUGAAGAAUGAUUCUAGAUUCCACUGAUGUCUUAUCAUGAGAACAGCAGAGACUGCUGUGGCAAAAGAUUUCAGAAAAUCCCACAUCCUUUCGCCAGAUCAGUUGCUGCCCUUGGGGCCUCCUCAGAUGAGAUCAUCUUCUAGAUGUAUGCCCCUUGGAUCCUCCUACCUCUGCUUACCCUGAAUAAGGACUCCACAAUCCAUGAGCCCCCUGAUGCAGAUAUAAAGCAAGGACUUCAGACUCUCCUGAGAGGCCUCCAUUUUGGUUGUUUAACUCCUACAAAAGGAAGGAUACUCAAACUACAACUGAGUGUGGUGGUGCACAUCUAUAAACUCAGCACUCAGAAGCCUGAGGCAGGAGGACCACUCUGGACUACAUAGUGAAGCCCUUUCUCAAAAAUAACAAACAACAGCCCACGCCGCGGGUGCUUAUCAAGAGGGCAGAAGAAGAAGCUGCUCGAGUCCCACCAUGGCCAGAUCUCAGGACCUUUGGUUCUCCUCCUGGCCCAUGCCGCAAGAGCUUACCAAGAGGGCAGCAUUUUGCUAUACAGAGCUGGCCUUGAACUCACAGCAAUCCUGCUUCAACCUCUUGAGUGCUGAGACUAUAGAUGUGCACCACUGUACCCAGCCUUGGUUUCAGCUUCUGAUAGUAGCAAAUCUAUAUUUGAAG